AUAAACGUUUACACUGCAUUUAUUAUGUGUAUUCUGCUGAUGAGUUACUUAUUUUACUUUUUGUUAUAGGCUCAGCACUAUUUGUUAUAGUGUCGAGCAAUAGCACUAUUGUACGAUCACUGUUAAUUUGUGCCUUAGUGUUUGUGUAUGUCCUUUUACUAGCCCGUAUGUUAUGUUAAUUCCUUGUUUUUCUGUUUUAUUUGGAUAGCAUCAUUGACCCUCUUACAAACUGAAAAGCUGGCAAAGAAGCUGGCUGGCGAUUUGGACCUCGACCUCUCUGCAACCGACUAGAAGGAGCUGAAGUCACUGGGGAGCUGGAGCCAAUCCAUCACAGGGCACAAUCACACAAGGACCAGUCUUCCUAAAACUACUUUGGACUUUGGACUGUGGGGAGGAACCUGGAACAGAAGAACAUAGGGAGAACAUACUGUACUGUACAACCCUCAUGCAGAUAUCGCUCAGGUCUGGGACUGAACCCAGGGCCUCAGGUCUGUGAGGCAGCAAUGCUCUGUGCUGCUGCCCAAACAAUUAUUUUAUUUUGAACACAAACCUCUUUUGCUGUUACAGUGUCUCCUCCCCUCCCAAGCAUAAUUUCCCUUGCUGUUUCUUCUGGAAAUUGGUCCACUCUGGAGCUGUUUAAAACAUGUCUUCCUAGAAUAUUGGGAUAGUAGUCUUUAAGUUUCCCCCACUUUGUCCUGCCUUAGAUUCUUGGCCUAAAGACUUCUUAAAGAGAUCUUGAACCUGCCCUAGCUAAAACUGUAAACUAUUCUUUACUCUCCAGCUGAAGUUGGUACUUUGUGCAGCUCAUCUGUUUGGAAAAUGAAGAAACCUGCAUGGGAGAGCUUCUUGAAGUGGGAAAGCCAUUGCACUGGGGCAGUCCCACUCUCUCGACCUCAGACUCCUGGGUCUAGAAGUAGUCAUCACGACUGGAGACUUCUUUGGUUGCAGACCGUGGAUGACCACGACACCUUUCUGUGCCUUGUCAUGCCCUUAACUUUCCAUGGAGCAUUGCAACAGUAUAGUAUCCCAUCAUUAAACUGGGGCAUUCGGACCCACCCAGACCACAGGAUGAGUGCACCCUGCUGGCCCCACUAACACCUCAUCCAACAGCAACCUCACCUUUCCUACAAGGUCUCCCAUCCAGGUAAUGACCAGACUCACACCUGCUUAGCUGCAGUGGGAAGCCAGUUGUGAGCUGCAGGGUGAUAUGGCUGCUGGCUUGUAUUAAGCUACUGUACAUGUAUAUGCAUUCAAUAAUGGAUGGGUUAUUUGUUCUAAGUUAGAUCUUAGUGUUGUGCUGGGCUUCUAUGUUCCCACUCCCCAUCAUGAAAAGAAGUCCUGUUUAUCAAUUUAAAUGUACUAAAGAAGUCCAUUGGGUUGACUUUGUCAGUGCCUUGAGUGCUUGAAUUGGGUCCCGUCGUAUUAAUCUCUUUUCAAGACUAAAAAGGUUCAAUUCCUUAUGACAGUCAGUGUAGGACAUUUCUUUAGGCAUAGGACUGUAUCUGGUUGCUGUUCUCCAGAUUCCUGAGCAGCAGGGACUUUUUUCUAAUGUUGUGCCUAAAAACAUGCUCCAUAUUAUAUUGUACUAGUGUACUGUACGAUUUUAACAUAACAUCUCAUGAUUUACAUUUUAAGCUUUUAACUAUAUUUCGGCAAAUGUUGUUUCCCUUUUGUAUCACUUCCUCACAUUGUCUAGAAGAUGAAAAAGGUGUCAACAUUGAUUUGAAACAUAAAUGUUUUCAUAAGUAGCUUCUUCAAGCUCUGACUCCUUGCUUAUAUUCGUCAUUUACGUUUGUGCUACAGUACGUAUAACCCAAUAAACAUCAUCUGCCAGAUGUUUGCCAAGUAUUGAAUUCUGUCUAAACCUUUUUGAAUUUCCUUUGCGGUUUGUAUAGUGUUUCCUAAUCCUCCUACUUUAAUAUCAUCUGUGAACAGCUUGCUAACUGUACAAGAAUCUAGAUCAAUUAUAUAAAUUAGGAUGUAUUUAUAAAACAGGUCUAUAUACUGUAAUACUUGUCUAAUUACUUCUUUCUGAGAAUCUAAAUAUAUCAUAUCAAAUACUAUGUUUGUAUCCAUCAGUACCAUUACGGUUUAACAGAUUGAUUAAGCAUAUUUUACCUUUACUAAAUCCAUGUUUAGUUUAGGUCAGUUUGUAUGUCAUAUGUACAAGUUCAAUGAAAUGCUAAUUGCAUUGUAUGCCCCAAUACAAAGACAUUAAGGAAACACCAAACUCAACAACAACAAAGUUAAAUAUCACUCAACGUAAAUAAGUCAGCACAAGCAGUGUGCAAAAAAAACAGUGCAAGUCAGUUGUAGACCUAGAAUUCAAUAAUCUAACAACUUGUGGAAAGAAGCAGCCUCUGAAUCUGGAGGUUUGUGCCUGUACUGUAUGCUUCUAUAAUGCUUACCAGAGGUCAGGGGAGAGAACAGUGAGAAACCAGGAUGAUAAUAAACCUAUUGUUGACUAUUCUCAAUGAUAAUAUUUCCAUACAGAUGAUCGUGGUCUAGUGUUUGCCAGAUGGGUAAAAGUAGUUCUUCAAUCAUUGAGUAUUACCACCUAUGAAUAUAAUGGCCUAUGAAUAAUAUAUGUUUCUUUUACUAAAACUGUCAGAAUAGCAAUGGGAAUGUGAGAUAUGAAAUGCUCCUCUGUAGCAGUAUUGUUUAUAGAUUAUCUGUUCUCAGACAUUUCCCUUUCAUCAUGUAAAAGUUUCUUAUUUUUCUCAAUGAAACUUUUUAUCUAUAUGCAAUUCAUUUGUUGUUGUAGUAUGGAAAGAGUUUAGUCUACUUUUAGAUAUUAUUUACUCUGUCCUAACCUUUCUAAACUAUGUAUGUAAUUC